GGUUGGUCCAAGUGCAGUGGUGUUUACAACUAAUUGAUCACAACCAGUUACAGAUUCCUUUGUUCCUUCCCCACUCCCACUGCUUCACUGGAGUAGCCUUAA
rnacentral:Y_RNA from 1 species